UUAGUCCUGCCUCGAGUGCAGGGGACUGGACUAGAUGACCUCUCGAGGUCCCUUCCAGUCCUAUGAUUCUAUGAAUUCCUCACCAAGGAGGGUUCCACAGUAUGCAGAAAAAAAGCAGUAGCCACACAUAUUAAUAUGUCUCUCUUCUCUUGUAGGGUUAGUAGGUGCAAAGAAAAUCCGGAGGGCAAGUGGAUAUGGAAGGGAGUAUGAAGUUCUUCGUCUUUUGAGCUGUUGUUGUGUUGGAAUGGAGCAGAGAGAGAGAAGCAUCACAGCCUGGGAGGUCCCCAUUAAACUUUCCAUACCGACCCAAAAAGAAACUUUGAAUUCUGUUGACAGUUACUGGGUUGUUGAAGGGUAUUAGCCCAGCAGAGAACGGCAGCCCAGGAGUCUGAGGACUGAUUCCAGGGUUUUCAAGACAACACUGCUGUUUUAAACUCUCAUAGGCAUGGACUGUCAUUCUGUAAAAUUAGUAUUUGUCUUCUUUUAUCAGUCUACAAAACAAAACAUAAAAAAGACUGUGUUCCCAUUUGUUCUUACAGUACCUUCUGAAUUUUCUCUACAAAUAAGGCAAGUGUUAUCAUGCAUGUUUUGCUGUCAGUAGCACAGAUGGUGUGCAUAUGCAGAUUGGUGAUUUUCUAAUCCAUAUAGUGGCACUUGGGAAUAUAUGUAAGUAUUGUAAUAAUGCAUUAGUCAGGAGUGAUGUUGUAACACACUGAGAUCAUACACAUAAAUCUAAGACACCAUGUCUAGACACUCCAGGGAAGAUGGCAUGCCAUGGGUUAGAGCAGGCAUUAAGGGAGUGCAAUAUUUCAAAUAUGAUGGGAAUAUAAUGCAAUUUGCAGACUUUAAUAAAACCAUUGGGGAAUUAAUUUCAGUAAGGGAACAUUCUCUCCAAAAACAUUCAUAUUCUUAGUUUGCUUCAUGGAUAAUCAGAAUGAGAAACUCUUUACCUGUUAUCUCAGGCAUAAACACAGUAUGAUAUCUGUGAAUUGUGCUAGAUCUUUAAUGUGCCGAAUAUGAAAAUAAUCCCUUUAUAGGUAAUGCUUUUGCAGUAUAAAACUGCAUUAUGCAAACAACGCACAGACAGCAUAAACCUUGGGGAUUCAGAAUUUGAAGAGUUUACAAAUUAAUCUCAUAAGUGUUGGUUUGCGCAUGCUCAGAGAGUGCACUCAGCUAUAAAACCUGACCAGCUGAACCUGGAAAGUUUUAAUUAGUAGCUUUUUGAUGAUAAAGUAUUAAAUUAAGAUGUGGUAUUUAUACUUGUUUUGCAUAUAUGUCCCCUUUCUGCUGAAAAGUUAUAGUUUUAACUCCCUUUGCUACCUUGGCUGACUUUCGCUAUUUUGCUGCCUGUAUCACUCUUGGCAUAUAAUUUUA